rnacentral:rRNA from 1 species
CCUACGGGUGGCAGCAGUGGGGAAUAUUGCACAAUGGGCGAAAGCCUGAUGCAGCAACGCCGCGUGAGCGAUGAAGGCCUUCUGGUCGUAAAGCUCUGUCCUCAAGGAAGAUAAUGACGGUACUUGAGGCGGAAUCCCCGUCUAACUACGUUCCAGCAGCCCCGGUAAUAGGUAGGCGGCCAGCGUUAUCCGGAAUUACCGGGCGUAAUGGGGGCGUAGUUGGUUUGUUAGGUGAGAGGUGAAGGGCUGCGGCACAACCGUAGUAAGCCGUUGAAACUGGGAAGCUUGAGUGCAGGAGAGGAAAGUGGAAUUCGUAGUGUAGCGGUGAAAUGCGUAGAUAUUAGGAGGAACACCGGUUGCGAAGGCAGCUCUCUGGAGUGUAACUGACGCUGAGGCACGAAGGCGUGGGGAGCAAACAGGAUUAGAUACCCGUGUAGUC